rnacentral:rRNA from 1 species
UACGGAGGGUGCAAACGUUGCUCGGAAUCAUUGGGCGUAAAGCGCACGUAGGCGGUUCGUUAAGUCGGAUGUGAAAGCCCUCGGCUCAACCGAGGAAGUGCAUACGAAACUGGCGAACUUGAAUAUGGAAGAGGGUCGCGGAAUUCCCGGUGUAGAGGUGAAAUUCGUAGAUAUCGGGAGGAACACCAGUGGCGCAGGGCGGCGUCCUGG